ensembl:snoRNA U3 Small nucleolar RNA U3
AAGACUAUACUUUCAGGGAUUAUUUCUAUAGUUUGUUACUAGAGAAGUUUCUCUGAAUGUGUAGAGCACCCGAAACCAUGAGGAGGAGAUGUAGCGUCCUCUCCUGAGCGUGAAGCUGAAAAAAAAAAAAAAAAAAAACAGCACCAAUGAACUGAAGGACUUCAAGCUCACUAAUACAUGUAUACCUGGGGCUCCCAAUGGGGAAGAGCAGGGAGACAGACAAGU